CAAAGAGUAGUUUAAGAAGAAUGUCAGCUUUGGGUGCUGAUGGUGGGACGUUAAGUCUCUUCUUUGA
rnacentral:tRNA from 1 species